rnacentral:rRNA from 1 species
UAGGGAAUCUUCGGCAAUGGACGGAAGUUUGACCGAGCAACGCCGCGUGAGUGAAGAAGGUUUUCGGAUCGUAAAGCUCUGUUGUAAGAGAAGAACGAGUGUGAGAGUGGAAAGUUCACACUGUGACGGUAUCUUACCAGAAAGGGACGGCUAACUACGUGCCAGCAGCCGCGGGUAAUACGUAGGUCCCGAGCGUUGUCCGGAUUUAUUGGGCGUAAAGCGAGCGCAGGCGGUUAGAUAAGUCUGAAGUUAAAGGCUGUGGCUUAACCAUAGUAGGCUUUGGAAACUGUUUAACUUGAGUGCAAGAGGGGGAGAGUGGAAUUCCAUGUGUAGCGGUGAAAUGCGUAGAUAUAUGGAGGAACACCGGUGGCGAAAGCGGCUCUCUGGCUUGUAACUGACGCUGAGGCUCGAAAGCGUGGGGGAGNAAACAGGAUUAGAUACCCUGGUAGUCCACGCUGUAAACGAUGAGUGCUAGGUGUUAGACCCUUUCCGGGGUUUAGUGCCGUAGCUAACGCAUUAAGCACUCCGCCUGGGGAGNACGACCGCAAGGUU